rnacentral:ncRNA from 1 species
GAGGUGGAAUCCGAAAAACCUUAAAAGAGUAGGAG